CCAGACUCCUACGGGAGGCAGCAGUGGGGAAUAUUGCACAAUGGGGGAAACCCUGAUGCAGCGACGCCGCGUGAGUGAAGAAGUAAUUCGUUACGUAAAGCUCUAUCAGCAGGGAAGAAAUACUGACCUUACGGUCAGCAGACGGUACCUGAGUAAGAAGCCCCGGCUAACUCCGUGCCAGCAGCCGCGGUAAUACGGAGGAUGCGAGCGUUAUCCGGAUUUAUUGGGUUUAAAGGGUGCGUAGGCGGGCUGUUAAGUCAGGGGUAAAAGCCCGGGGCUCACCCCCGGCGAGCCGUUGAAACUGGCUGUCUUGAGAUGUCGAGAGGUAUGCGGAAUGCGCAGUGUAGCGGUGAAAUGCUUAGAUAUUGCGCAGAACUCCGAUUGCGAAGGCAGCAUACCGGCGGCGAUCUGACGCUGAGGCACGAAAGCGUGGGUAUCGAACAGGAUUAGAUACCCUAGUAA
rnacentral:rRNA from 1 species